GCCGCUACUGGAGAGUGAACGUGGACACAAUAGUAGAGCCAGCAGGUAGCUCCUGUGUUGUUGAAAUGGUCUAACCACUUUGAUUAAAGUAGGAAACUAGCAACAAUAAACAAGGAGAGAUUCUUGAAAGGGUGAAAGAGAAGUUAUACAACGUCGUGGAGCUGCCGACCCCGUCCAAACGGCGUGUGAAUUGAAUAUUCCGGCUGUUUUUUUGGUGAGACUCUACUAGAGACAGAACUGUGCUGCUCAAGUCACUGUCGUCAUACUGCCUUCUGGGUUUCAUCUUCAUCAUCACCAUCUUCUUACCGCUCACUCGAUCUUCGCCAUCAUCAUCUCCACUACUCACAGGAUUUUCCCGUCGUUUCCCUACUCCAUUCUCUGAGGAGCCAGGAUGGACAGUUUUACCCUGCUAAGGGUGGUGGUAGGAACUUGAGUGCACUUAAACUAAUGAAACAGGGUUGAACAAAGACUGAUUUAGUAUUCCCCUGUUUAUCUCUAUGAAAUGAGAGAUCUCAGUUUUUGGUUAAUUUGGUUUUAUAUUUCUAAUUUUCUUUGUUUUUGAUAUUUAAGUUGUGGUUUGAGUACAUUGGGUUUGAACCUAAUUGGCCUAUCUAAAUUUGAUUACCAUACUGAAUCAUUUAGUUUAGCCAUGCUAGACUUCUGGUAAAAGAUUAUUUUGCAUAAUCUCAAAUUGAAAGUAGUACUGGUUGUGGGUGCAAUUUGUUUCAUGCCCAAGGUAGGAGUUAAAUGAAGACAGGGGAAACAAAAAUAACACUACAGUUAAACAAAUUUACUCUGUUGUUGUGGUAUUUUAAAAAAAACUCAGUCACAAUCUUAUUAUGUUUGUAACUUGAAUCUUGUAUUGUCUUGCUGUUUUUAAAUACAUAGUUGUUUAAAUAAAGUUGUGCUGGUUGUUUUGCCCAGUUUCAAAGUACUGCUUUAUAUUCCCCCCCCCCAAAAAAAAGCGCCCCCCCAAAAAUAAUUAUCACCAGCCGCCACCCAGCCGCCAUGAUGGAUAGUAUGCAAAUUGGGACGCUGCAACGUUGUGGCAUGAGAGUGACGUAGCUUGUUGGACACAGUAACUAAGAGGGGCGGGUCUUUGCUAAUUGUUGGUUAUUAUCGGACAUACUGAUUUAAGUAUAUUAAGUAUAUAUAAUGUACGUUACCAGAAAUGAUUUGAUGUUAUGAAGAAUGAGAAAUAAGUCAAAUUAUGGGGUUUUGAGAAGACAUUGAAGAGUAAUAAAACCUAUAACUUUUCUCUUUUCUAUUUUUUUUAAAGCUAAAAUUUCUACUCUAAAAGCAGAGAUCUCCUUGCUUAAAGAUGAGUGUGACUUUUUGAAGAAGGGGAUUGAAAAGAUGAAGUCUGUUGUUCCAACUGCAGUGUCUCAAGUCCAUGCUGAUCCGACAGUGUCAGAUUCUUCAGAACAGCAAGACUCAUGGGAUUCCACCAGCUCCUCAUCAUUAGACUCCUCGGAGAAAGGGAAGAAAAAGAAGAAAAAAAUGAAGAAACCAAGGAAGAGCAAAAAAAAAAAGGGGGGAAAAAUGUUAACUUAUGUCUAUAUCAUUAAAAUUGAAAAGUUCACAAUCUG